GGACAGGAGGGUAAUUGUUCACCCGAAUGGUUGACCAGCUUGACUUGACGCAUCCGACUGGUUCAGUGGAUGUCCCCUUCCUCAGUCAUCACUCUCUGUGCAACCCUCCUGAACUGUGCACUUGGGAGGAUGGGCUCCCCCCCAAAGAUAAAGGAGAUGGAGGAGGACCAUUUCUGAGUCAAAGGCACAUGAGUAGCCAUGUUUCCUUGCUGUUGAUAGGACGCCAAAGGAGCUUUCAAGGUCCCUUUGUCGGAGCAUGUAAGUAGGGCUUCUCAGACUCCAGAUGCAUUUAAAUGAGGUGCUGCAUGUGGCAAGCUGCCUUCCCUG
rfam:Cricetulus griseus cell line CHO-K1, whole genome shotgun sequence.